AAGUCGUAACAAGGUUUCCGUAGGUGAACCUGCGGAAGGAUCAUUAACGAACUUGAAAUCGGGAGUCUGUUGCUGGUGCGGAAACGUACAUCGUGCACGGCUUCUGUGUUCAAUUCAACCCCUGUGCACCUCAUCGAAGCCGGUAGUCCCUUUAUCUUCUUUGUUUUGCCGGUCGCGUGCGGUGCGGAUUGCAAGUAGCGAGUAAGGCGAACGCAACUCCGGUUGUCAGUAGCUUGAAACCGAAAGUGGUCUUGCCUUCACGUUCGGCCGGCGAGAGGGGGGAGAGGUCGAGGGUCGAAAGCUUUGACUUGCCAUUAAACGCUUUGUAUGUCUUGUGGAAUGUAUUAGCUCCUUCGUGGGCGAAAUAAAUACAACUUUCAACAACGGAUCUCUUGGCUCUC
rnacentral:misc_RNA from 1 species